GACGGAGGGUGCAAGCGUUAUCCGGAUUUACUGGGUUUAAAGGGUGCGUAGGUGGGUCUGUAAGUCAGUGGUGAAAUCUCCGAGCUUAACUCGGAAACUGCCAUUGAUACUAUAGAUCUUGAAUACCGUGGAGGUCAGCGGAAUAUGUCAUGUAGCGGUGAAAUGCUUAGAUAUGACAUAGAACACCAAUUGCGAAGGCAGCUGGCUACACGAAUAUUGACACUGAUGCACGAAAGCGUGGGGAUCAAACAGG
rnacentral:rRNA from 1 species